rnacentral:rRNA from 1 species
AGCAGCCGCGGUAAUUCCAGCUCCAAUAGCGUAUAUUAAAGUUGCUGCAGUUAAAAAGCUCGUAGUUGAAUUUCGGGACCAAUAUGUCGGUCGUGCUUCGGUACGUACUGUCAUWAUUGGUUUCUCCCUUCUGAAGAACCUUGAUGUCAUUAAUUUGGUGUCUUGGGGAAUCAGGACUGUUACUUUGAAAAAAUUAGAGUGUUUAAAGCAGGCUCGCGCUUGAAUACAUUAGCAUGGAAUAAUGAAAUAGGACGUUUGAUUCUAUUUUGUUGGUUUCUAGGAUCGACGUAAUGAUUAAUAGGGAUAGUUGGGGGCAUUAGUAUUCAAUUGUCAGAGGUGAAAUUCUUGGAUUUAUUGAAGACUAACUACUGCGAAAGCAUUUGCCAAGGAUGUUUUCAUUAAUCAAGAACGAAAGUUAGGGGAUCGAAGACGAUCAGAUACCGUCGUAGUCUUAACCAUAAACUAUGCCGACUAGGGAUC